rnacentral:rRNA from 1 species
AUGGCCCAGCACGGCUUCCUCUCCUCCCUCCGCUCCCACCUCCGGACCACGCCGCCGCCGUCUCAUGUCCAGCCCCGCCGCGGGUACCACGUCGAGCUCGGCGCACGGGAGAAAGCGCUUUUAGAGGAAGAUGUUGCUUUGAAGAGGUUCAAAUCAUACAAGAACAGUGUCAAACGGGUCUCGAAAAUCGGGAAUGUUCUCACUCUCGUUGUCUUUGCUGCCUGCAGCUAUGAGGUCGUUACACUGGCAACAAGCACCCAAUGA